UGAAUGUAGUGUGUUUGUAGUGAGUGCAGAGUGUGUAUAAUGAAUGUAGUGUGUUUGUAGUGAGUGCAGAGUGUGUACAAUGAAUGCAGUGUAUGUAGUGUGUUUGUAGUGAAUGCAGAGUGUGUAUAGUGAAUGUAGUGUGUAAUGAGUGCAGAAUGUGUAUAGUGAAUGCAGAGUGUGUAUAGUGAAUGUAGUGUGUAAUGAGUGCAGAAUGUGUAUAGUGAAUGCAGAGGGUGUAUAGUGAAUGUAGUGUGUUUGUAGUGAGUGUAUAGUGAAUGUAGUGUGCUUGUAGUGUAUAAUGAAUGCAGUGUGUGCAUG